rnacentral:rRNA from 1 species
UACAGAGGGGGCAAGCGUUGUUCGGAAUUACUGGGCGUAAAGGGCGCGUAGGCGGUCGUGACAAGUCACUUGUGAAAUCUCCGGGCUUAACUCGGAACGGUCAAGUGAUACUGUCGGACUAGAGUGCAGAAGGGGCAACUGGAAUUCUCGGUGUAGCGGUGAAAUGCGUAGAUAUCGAGAGGAACACCUGCGGCGAAGGCGGGUUGCUGGGCUGACACUGACGCUGAGGCGCGAAAGCCAGGGGAGCGAACGGG